GGUGAGAUAGCCUAGUGGUUUAAAGCGCUCCUCUGCUAAGGGAGUAUACAUUAUAAAUAGUAUCCGGGGUUCGAAUCCCCGUCUCACCU
rnacentral:tRNA from 1 species